rnacentral:lncRNA from 10 species
AAAAAAACUAGCCGGGCUUGUUGGCGCAUGCCUGUAAUGCCAGCUACUUGGGAGGCUGAGGCAGGAGAAUCGCUUCAACCUGCAAGGCAGAGGUUGCAGUGAGCUGAUAGCAUGCCAUUGCACUCCAGCCUAGGCAACAAGAGUGAAAUUUCGUCUCAAAAAAAAAAAAAAAAAAAAAAAAUAGGCCGGGCGCAGAGGCCAAAGUGGGUGGAUCACUUCAGCCCAUGAGUUCAAGACCAGCCUGGGCAAACACAGCAAAACCUCACCUCUACUAAAAAUAUAAAAAUUAACCAGGUACGGUGGCAUGUGCCUGUCGUCGCACUUCCCAAAGUGAUGCAAUUACAGGCAUGUGCCACCAUGCCUGGUGACUUUUUUUCUGUUUUGAGACGGGGUCUCACUCUGUCUCCCAGGCUGGAGUUCAGUGGCAUGAUCAUAGCUCACUGCAGUCUCGACCUCCUAGGCUCAAGUGAUCCUCCCACCUCAGCCUCCUGAGUAGUGGGACCACAGGUGUGCACCACCGUGUCCAGCUAAUUUUUGUAGAGAUGGGGUCUCAUCAUGCUGCCCAGGCUGGUCUCAAACUCCAGGGCUCGAGUGAUCCGCCAUCCUUGGCCUCCCAAAGUGCUGGAUUACAGACCUGAGCCACCACACCAGGCUGCCCCACACAUUGUAAAGUUUCGCUUCCCUCUAAUGUCAGAUUCCAAAGACAGCAGCCUUCAUGAGUCAGAAAGAAACAUCGGUCAUUUUGAAAUCAACAUCCAACUGAAGUGUAGAAAGGCCUCUGGAUUUUUGAAACGGCAACAACAGAUGAUGUAAUACAAAGACGCCCCCACCCCACUGCUUUCCCACUGCAUGCUUUACAUGACAUGGCACAGCUUCCACGCCAGCAGCUUCAAUCAUGUAAAGCGAAUGCAGUCCCAUCAAGACCACAGCAUUGGCUGAGCAGCUACUCCAUGCUGGGCACCGUCCUGGGCACUGGAAGUACAGCAGAGAACGAAACCAAGACCACACCCUCCAGAAGCCUGCAUUCCAGCAGGACAGACAGACUUCCAUACACAGAGCAGGAAAAUGCACAGCGUGUCAGAUGAUGAUGAUUACUAUGAGAAAAAUAAAGCAGGCAAAGAGAACAGGACUAUUUGGAUGAGGGUGGUGCAAAUUCAAAUAAUCAGACAGCCUUUGCUGGGAAGGUGAUAUCUGAGCAAAGAUUCGAGAAGGUGGGGAGAGCCCCGGAGCCUUCCCCGCAGAGCAGAGGAGGCCCGGGAAGCUCUGGACUCAUAGCGGUUCAGCACGGCCACGACACGGCCACUUCCAGACAGAGCCCCUGGCUGCUGGGUAGGGACCGCAGCACCUCAGAGAACCCUUUCUGGGGUCACUUCUGGCACCCUCUGCAAACCUCAAGGGGGAGCGUGAGGCUGGGGGCUGUCCAUCAGGGUCCAGGCACCUCCUGAAGGAACCUCUCAAAGCCAGCCGAUCACCGGCUCCAGACCCACGCUGUCAGACAUCUCUGUGGCCACCAGACCACUGCCACUCUCACGGGUGUGAUGACAUGGGACCUGCCUACUGGUAGUCUUCUGCCUUCGUGGAAUUCUGCAACUUCCUUCCUGCCUCGGCCACAGCAUGUCAGCCAAGCACCUGUCAGGGUCCCUCCCUGGCAGGACGAUGUUUAGAAGCUCAACACCUUGCUCCUGCCUCCUCUUCAGACCCAUCAGAACUUGCUACCAUGGGUGUGUUUUAAUAAAUAACUUCAUUUCUGCAGCAAAUAAAUAAAUAAAUAAAUGUAGUUGCAAUAUUGCCUUUAAAAGCACUUUUAAGCAUCAAUUGUGAAAUAAAAAGCCCGAGCAAAAGCCCUCUUUGAGCGUGAA